UGGAUGUUCUGCGAUCGGAAUACCAACGUGCUCUGGAAGCCACUCGCCUAGAAAAUAGAAGAUCUUAACUUUACUGCUGAUAGAAUUAACAGUGUUAUCACACCUGUACUGCCACGGGCCCAAGCAAGGACCGGCUGCAAACAAGAUUCCCAUUCUCGAGGCAUCGUAGGACUGUAACAAGGUGCACCAACGAUCCUCGCGUGUCGUCCAAGAAUCGCCGAGUCGUGCGAAUUCGAAGAAGUAAAAGACUCGUGUCAGUCAGGUGGGACAAUGAUUCGGAAUACCGAAUCAAGUCGGCUGUUCCUCUCUGGGAGAGGAUAGCUUCGAGAAGGUAGCAUUGACAAUCGAGGAACGUUUCGGACAUGGAAUGACAUCAUUCGGAGAGGCUUCUUUUUAUUCUAAUGACGUCCGUCUACAGUCUACACGGUGCCAUGUCCGGCACGGAUGACCGUGAUUCGUGAAGCACAUACGAAUCAGGCCCAACCUUUACAGAAUUCCUACGCGCAUCUCGCUUUUCUACACGUAAUCAAUUCCUAUUCUCGAAUCGGCAAUCUAAGAUUGUUAUUGCUAAUGUCGUUUCGAGUCUGUUCAGGCUUUAGCAUUUAGUACAACAGAAAUGCGA